CCGGCAAACGCGGUUCGCUCUUUUGGCUCUCUCGGCCUUUCCUUCGCCGUCCGCCUCUUUGGCCUUUGCCGAUUUUCGGUUUAUCUCUGUGGGCAGGAAAAUCGCAAUCGGCCUGGCCAUAUAAAAUAAAAGGCCAGACAAUUUCUGGGCUUUGGCACAGUCGUUCGGUUCGCACCAAAUGGGAGACAACAGACAACAACGUGGGAGAAGAGAGAGCGGGGCGUUAAAGAAAAAUAUUCACAGAAAAUAGCAAACGCGCGUGUGUGCUGUGCGGUGCGUGUGUGUGAAAGCCAAGGAAAAUGCAACGGAAGUUGUCUGUGGAAAAGACAAAAAAAAAAUCGCAAACGGAACCGAAACAUAUUGUGAAAUUCGAGCGACAGAGAAGGCGAUACACCAACGUGCUUUCUGGAGCUUCUGGGUUUUUCUACCAAAAGGAAUUAAAAAAGAACAUUAAAAAGAAGACACAAAAGAGACGGGCCGAAAGAAGAGCGAGGUGUAUUUUUAGCAUUUCGAUAUCACAAGGCAGCUUUUUUUCGCUACACUACGAGAAAAAAUGACGCAAACGACGACCACAUGAUUCUACAUAUUUCCAUAUAACCCAUACGAACCGUUUCAAAUAUAGAAUAUCAAGGGUCUGCCAGACGAAGCGCAAGAUAAAGAGAAUUUGCUGAAUGAAAUGUAAUAAUUCGCCGCCGGAUGACGUCACGUCCUAUGUGGUCAUUAGCACUCCAUGUUCCAGUCAGUGGCGCAACAAGGGGAAGGUUCCCCUUUUGGAGAAGAGUUCGUUAAACAUGCACACGAAACCAAAUCACCAUUUUUAUUAUGGCCCCGCAUAACAAUCAUAAAGUUCCCCCAAAUUCUACUCUAGAUACGCCCCUGGCUUCAGUUCUCCAGUCUCAUAUGACUAAUUUUGGCAUUGUUAUUGCAUAAAAUUCGCAUGGCGUCAUCAUCACCGCGUACAACUACAAAAGAGCGAUGAGAUCGUUAACCCUAAAUCGGGAACGGGGACCUAAUACCAGGCACAAGGUCGUCACCCGACCCCUUCCAUCCCAGAAAUGGGGGUCGCCAUUUGCUGCAGUUUUGUUGCCAGGCGGCCGAACAUCUGUCUCAGAACAGCGAAAAAAGGAAAACGAAGAAACCUGACUGGGCUUGGCUUUAUAUAAGGUUGUUAAAUAUCUUCCUUCCGCUUUUUUCUCUUUAUACAAUGCUUUAUUCAAAGUAUUACAGUAAAUAAAGUUUUACAGAAAAUAAACAGCAUCGAAUAAAGAGCAAAAAGGCGUAAGGGAGAUAUUUGACAAGCUUAUAUACAUCUUAUAUUAAAUAUCUACAUCUACAUCUUCAACUCCAGCUUCAGCUCCUACUCGGUAUACAUGAUGUUCCCCAGCUGGAAAAAAGUCUACUGCCUUGCGCGCUAAUCAGUGACCGGGGCUGGUUUUUAUAUACAGUCAGGUACCUGAAGUAGCGCGCGUGGUGCCAGACAUACAUCUCCAUAUCCAGCACGUUUAGCUCGCCGUCGAGUCCUCGAAACAAAUCCCAGGUGUAUCAACUGUCUCCCAUGUCUAUUGUACUUCAUCAGGUGCUCUGGUGUGGCCCGCAACCCGGCACAUGUUGAAGUACACUCAAUAUGAGGCGAUUUGCAUACGAAAACGACGUACUAAAGUGCUUUCAAAGCUUACCGAAAUUCAGAUUACUCCUAAAAAAUUUAAAUUUUAAAGAUGCGAAUUUUGUCAACAAUCAUAAUUUAAGAACCUUGUAGGUGUUACACUUAAAAUAUGCUAAUAAACUUUUAAACAAA